rnacentral:rRNA from 1 species
UACGUAGGGGGCAAGCGUUGUCCGGAUUUAUUGGGCGUAAAGAGCUCGUAGGCGGUUUGGUAAGUCUGAUGUGAAAGCCCACGGCUCAACCGUGGAGGGUCAUUGGAAACUGGGGGGACUUGAGUGCAGAAGAGGAAAGCGGAAUUCCACGUGUAGCGGUGAAAUGCGUAGAGAUGUGGAGGAACACCAGUGGCGAAGGCGGCUUUCUGGUCUGUAACUGACGCUGAGGCGCGAAAGCGUGGGGAGCAAACAGG